rnacentral:rRNA from 1 species
UACGUAGGGGGCUAGCGUUGUCCGGAAUCAUUGGGCGUAAAGCGCGUGUAGGCGGUCCGGUAAGUCCGCUGUGAAAGUCGAGGGCUCAACCCUCGAAUGCCGGUGGAUACUGUCGGGCUUGAGUACGGGAGAGGCGAGUGGAAUUCCUGGUGUAGCGGUGAAAUGCGCAGAUAUCUGGAGGAACACCGGUGGCGAAGGCGGCAUCCUGGACCGGCAUUGACGCUGAGGCGCGAAAGCCAGGGGAGCAAACGGG